rnacentral:snRNA from 1 species
AGAUGUGAGGGGGUCUAGCUGCAACAUCUAUCACCCCAUUGAUCGCCAGGGUUGAUUCGGCUGAUCUGGCUGGCUAGGCAGGUGUCCUCUUCCUCCCUCACCACUCCAUGUGCGUCCCUCCCCAAGCUGCCGAAUAGAGGUGGACCGGUCUUCGGUUGAGGGUAUACCAGUAACUGUGCUCCCCUGCUAGAACCUCCAAACAAGCUCUCAAGAAGAGUACAAUUCCCACCACAGACCUCUGU